UACGGGGGGGGCAAGCGUUGUUCGGAAUUACUGGGCGUAAAGGGCUCGUAGGUGGCCAACUAAGUCAGACGUGAAAUCCCUCGGCUUAACCGGGGAACUGCGUCUGAUACUGGAUGGCUUGAGUUUGGGAGAGGGACGCGGAAUUCCAGGUGUAGCGGUGAAAUGCGUAGAUAUCUGGAGGAACACCGGUGGCGAAGGCGGCGUCCUGGACAACACUGACACUGAGGAGCGAAAGCCAGGGGAGCAAACGGG
rnacentral:rRNA from 1 species